GAUGAACGCUGGCGGCGUGCUUAACACAUGCAAGUCGAACGGAAAGGCUCCUGCUUGCAGGGGUACUCGAGUGGCGAACGGGUGAGUAACACGUGGGUGAUCUGCCCUGCACUUCGGGAUAAGCCUGGGAAACUGGGUCUAAUACCGGAUAGGACGAUGGUUUGGAUGCCAUUGUGGAAAGUUUUGUCGGUGUGGGAUGAGCUCGCGGCCUAUCAGCUUGUUGGGGGGGAAAUGGCCUACCAAGGCGUCGACGGGUAGCCGGCCUGAGAGGGUGUACGGCCACAUUGGGACUGCGAUACGGACCAGACUCCUACGGGAGGCAGCGGUGGGGAAUAUUGCACAAUGAGCGCAAGCCUGAUGCAGCGGCGCCGCGUGGGGGAUGACGGCCUUCGGGUUGUAAACUCCUUUCGCUAGAGACGAAGCGCAAGUGACGGUACCUGGAGAAGAAGCACCGGCUAACUACGUG
rnacentral:rRNA from 1 species